AUCCAGCUGACGAGUCCCGAAGAGGACGAAACGCGUUUUCUGGAU
rfam:Schistosoma mansoni, Puerto Rico, WGS project CABG01000000 data, contig: 0037